rnacentral:rRNA from 1 species
GACGAACGCUGGCGGCGUGCCUAAUACAUGCAAGUAGAACGCAGUUGCGAACGGGUGAGUAACGCGUAGGUAACUUCCUGGUAGCGGGGGAUAACUAUUGGAAACGAUAGCUAAUACCGCAUACUACCAGAUGGACCUGCGUUGUAUUAGCUAGUGGGGGGGGUAACGGAUCACCAAGGCAACGAUACAUAGCCCACCUGAGCGGGUGGUCGGACAAACUGGGACUGAGACACGGCCCAGACUCCUACGGGGUGGAGCAGUAGGGAAUCUGCGGCAAUGGGCGGAAAGCUGACCGAGCAAAGGCGCGUUGGUGAAGAAGGUUUUCGGAUCGGAAAGCUCUGUUGUAAUAGAAGCGUUACCUUACCAGAAAGGGACGGCUAACUACGUGCCAGCAGCCGCGGUAAUAC